rnacentral:sRNA from 1 species
UCCUUCUCAAAGCUGCACACUCAGUCAAAAAAAUUUCCUUGAUAGAGGAGAGGACCGUUCUUUGGUCAAGAGUAUAUGUGUAGCUGCGCUCCCCUGCUAGAACCUCUCUCCUUUUUCUUGAUGAGUCUAGU